ACACUCCUACGGGAGGCAGCAGUGGGGAAUUUUGGACAAUGGGGGCAACCCUGAUCCAGCAAUGCCGCGUGAGUGAAGAAGGCCUUCGGGUUGUAAAGCUCUUUUGUCAGGGAAGAAACGGUAGUAGCGAAUAACUAUUACUAAUGACGGUACCUGAAGAAUAAGCACCGGCUAACUACGUGCCAGCAGCCGCGGUAAUACGUAGGGUGCAAGCGUUAAUCGGAAUUACUGGGCGUAAAGCGUGCGCAGGCGGUUGUGUAAGUCAGAUGUGAAAUCCCCGGGCUCAACCUGGGAAUUGCAUUUGAGACUGCACGGCUAGAGUGUGUCAGAGGGGGGUAGAAUUCCACGUGUAGCAGUGAAAUGCGUAGAUAUGUGGAGGAAUACCGAUGGCGAAGGCAGCCCCCUGGGAUAACACUGACGCUCAUGCACGAAAGCGUGGGGAGCAAACAGGAUUAGAAACCCCGGUAGUCCCAUG
rnacentral:rRNA from 1 species